UUGGUUCUAUCAGAAGUCGUUUGGCUAACCGCAAGGAGGCCAGCGCCCAAGGUAAUACCGAUGAUUGGGGUGAAGUCGUAACAAGGUAGCCGUAGGUGAACCUGCAGAAGGAUCA
rnacentral:rRNA from 1 species